UACAGAGGGGGCAAGCGUUGUUCGGAUUUACUGGGCGUAAAGCGCACGUAGGCGGAUCGUUAAGUCGGGGGUGAAAUCCUGGAGCUCAACUCCAGAACUGCCUUCGAUACUGAGAGCUUGAGUCCGGGAGAGGUGAGUGGAACUGCGAGUGUAGAGGUGAAAUUCGUAGAUAUUCGCAAGAACACCAGUGGCGAAGGCGGCUCACCGUGCCCG
rnacentral:rRNA from 1 species